UCCAACCUCGAUUUUUUUUUGUUAUUUUACCUUUUACAGGUUUUGCAAUUAUGACCUGUACAAAUGUUUAAGAAAGUGUUAAAGUCCCUGUAAAGGCAAUAAAAAAAAUCUAAACGCAUUAUAAAUGUUAAAAAUGUAUUGCUAAAACACAAUACAAAGACUGAACUGUGAAGUUCCGCUGUCGCCAUAUCUGUUUCCGGUUUACUUGCGCGUCGCCCAAAAUGUCUGUUUUCACUCGAUGUCUCCAGAAUCUUCCGAAAAUACGCGUCAGCGAUGUUCAUCGCAUUGUUGAUGCCUGGUCCCCUGCUCUGACAAGCAAGAGGGACAAGGGCUUUAAACUCUACAUAUCGAGUUAUCUGCACAACUACAAGGGUAAGUAUUUUAAUUUAAUGUGGUGUGCCAGCAGAUAGCGGCUAAGCUAGUUCGCCAUGUGUUCAUUUUUAAUGUAACGUUAGUAUAGAAGCUUGUUUUUUCUUAGUUUUAAAGCAGACUGUUUGUUAAUUUUUGUGAUAAUUGUAAUACAAAUUAUAUUAACUUGCUCUCCUCUCAGUUUCUAAUAAAGAUCAGGGCACAGGUGAAGUCACUGUCAAGGCAUUGUGCUACAGGUCCACGAGGAAAGCAGAUAAACCUCACAGUUUGAGUGUAUGGUGAAGCUAGAAUUGAUAAGACUGCAGUUAUAGGCUUGUUACUUUAAUAGCCCGAUGUUCCUGGGGACUCGGCUAAGGUUAUUCAUGUUUAAUGUAACUCAAAUCAAAUGAAAACAGUUAUUGUAGGCAGGUAAGUUUCCCUAGCUGGUCCCUCUGUGUAAAAUGCGUUCUUAUUCAAGUUUUCAACUCAGUCAUUCGUUUAAGAUGCAAUCUUGUGUUAUAAGUAUUAGGCUAUCAUGAUUAUACAGUGAGCAAGCUAUAUAAAUAAGUAUUUAAUAUAAUAAAAGUGUAGAGCAACAACCGAGGGUGUAAGGUAAAGGCUGAAUAUUGUAGAUUUAUUAAAAUAUGUUGCAUGUUUGAAUUAAAAUACCUGUGGAUAUGCCACUUCCCACUCAUGAAAGUGUUAUUCAAAGGAGCACACACUCUACAAAGGCCUGACUGGAGAUUUGCCUGAUCUAUCCGUCCUUCAGGUGAGUAGGGAAUGAUAUAACAAUAGCAAAUUUCACUGUACAGUAUGAUAUAGCAACCAAAAUCUGUAUACCAAUAUUUCAUUAUUUUCUUUUUCCUCCCCUUUUACAAACAAUUAUUCUGCCUCAAAGAAAAAAAAAUGAAAUUGAUGUUAUCAUAAGGGUUCUUCAUUAUGAACUUGUAUGCCAUGCAUAACAUACUGUGGAUAGAAAUUACAGGGAAAGUUACUGGUAUGAUAAUUGUGGUUAUAUUAUAUUACUAUUAUAUUUAGUGUAUUGCUAAUCAAUAUAUUGUUACUUCCCAGGUGACAGCGGCUCACUUCAAGAGCAAGUGAAGCAAGUUGGGACAAUGUUGAAGACGUUUGCUCGCACUGGGCAAUCAGAUGCAGAUCAGACCCUAAUGCUGCGACGUCUUGGAGAGUUAGGCGAUGUUGUGCGUAGCAUGGACAACAAAAUGCUAUGCUGCAACAUUUCAGUGCCAAUGUGUCUGUUGGAGAGUUAUCCCUGCCAGAUUUGGCGUUGCUUGACAACAGUUUGAGGCAGGAUAAAGAGCUCCAGCAACGAUUUCUUCGGUUUUUGGCAAUCAAAUGUGGGAGGGACCUAAAGACAACCGUGUGGUGAAUGCUUCAGAGUAUCUUCUCUAAUCACCUUUCCAUCAAUACAACCUGGACUGGUGUAGGGGAUAAAGCAUGUUUUAGAGACAUGUUCCUGAAGACCAUUGUUCAAAGAGCCAUCCGGAAGAACCCGGCAACCCAGGAUGCCACUGAUGAGGCGAUCCAGGUUAACGUUACGCAUUACCUGAAAGGAGCAUCUGAACAAGAAUGUGGAAAAAGGUGCCGCACAGCUGAGAGGGACCCACAGCCGACCCCUUAAACCUAGGCUGACUACUGACACCCCAGCAUCACUGACAACUGGAACCCUUUCUUUAUCCUACAGUCAGUAACAUCAAGACCCCUAAAAAAGCCUGCUAAAAGUGUCAGACUACACUCACCCAAUCCACGCUGUUCACUGUGGAAAUUGCUUUUUUUUUUUUUCUCUCUCUCGUGACCCUGCUUUGAGGGCAGCUCCUUGGAUGAAUAUGGGAUGGUUUGUCCUUUUAUACAGGCGCACGAGGAAUCACUGAAGAUAUGCUAAUUUGCACUGCCUCAUUCUGGAGGUCGGGGAAAACCGGUGAUUCUUAGCCCACUACGCCACGCAGUCCCCAACCUCUCCAGACAUUCUGAUUGGCUGUGUUCUCUACAGCCAGAUUUUCUGAUGUUAAUUAUUUUUAUUCCCACUUGUUGUCAUGUGUAAGUUGAAUGUCAAAAUGUAUAUUAUACCUGUUAUCCUGCACAUUCCUUGAUACCAAAGAUCUCAAUUAUUUCAUAUACAAUUUGCUGCUUAUUUCAUUGUUACAGUGCUUAACUAUUCUAUUUUUAAAUAUAGCUUGUAAAUCCUAGAUUAUACAUCUAAUACUUGAUAUUUGCACAUUAUCUGGUAUCAAAUAUUCUACUUACCGUGACUUUAGUAUUGGCUUAUUUCAUUCCGUCAGUGCUUAACGAUUCUAUUAUAGUUUGUAAAUCCUAUUUCAUACCUCUGAUACUUGAUAUUGCACAUUAACUAGUACCAAAUAUUCUACUUUCAUUCCGUCACAGUGCUUAACUGUUAUUCUAUUGUUAAAUAUAGCUUGUAAAUCCUUGUGCCACAGGUCAGCAUUGCAGUUAUAAUGGUAUAUUCUACUCCAGAGCUUUACUCUAAAUUAUUACCACUUAACCUAUUGUUAGAAAUGACUUGUAAAUAUGAUGUUAUACCUCAAUUUAUUUGGUAUCCUGCACUUUCUUUGGUACCAAAUAUCCUCAUUGCUUAUGUUUACUGGUAAUUCUUUUCA